CAUGAAAUCACCUUAAACAUCAAUUCAUUGUAAGCACAAAAAUGAAAGCCUCUGGUUGUUGCUCCAUAAACUUGUCCAAGGAAUACAAUUGAUAUCAAUUAAACGGCAGUAUUGAUUAAAGUUGGUUGGUACAAUUUUCAAUGGAUACAUUUAAAUUCAAUCAAGUGGACAAUGUUUUUUCCGUACAAAUCUAAAUUGGAUUGAUAUUUUGAAUGUUAACAUUUACCAUAAAACAAAGGCUCACUUUUGUCCUCCUUUCACUUUCUUUCUCUCUCUUUCUCCUGCUCAUCCACCCUCUCAAAGAUGACCAUAUUAUAUCAAUUAUCCUUUAUUGUUCAAUGGAGAACUUGAUAGUCAACCAAGCAUCAAAUUCUGACCGCAAAUUCUGACAUGCUCUUGGCCCUAUCUCUUCAUGAUCCAAGUUUCACUCUUUCUUGGUAAUGAUAAGACUUUCAACCUGAUUCAAGUAUAUUUUGAUGGUUACAAUGAUGAUUAUUGAAGGCACAUAACGAAACUACAGGGUCACUUGCAGCAUACAACAAAGAAAACCAGAAUAACAUUAUCUUGAAAUUAACCAGUUUUGGGUUCAACUGUUUGAAUGAUAUUUUACAGCAUCGGUUAACCAGGAGACCCUGUACCAAUCAACCAGACAAGACUGUACAUCGAAAUAUAAGAACCAUAACCAUUUAGCUGUUUUGUAUUGAAGUCGAUUCUUAUUGGUCACGCAAAUGAAUGCUUAAGAGUUAAAAGCUGUCAAGUUGAUUGUUCCCUAUCACAUUUGAACAAAAGAGGAUGAUCAUGAUUAUGGUCAAAUUAAGAAUUGAACAACAAGUAAACAAAAUCUUUGAUUUAGAUGGACCAUCAAUCAUCAUAUGUUUACAAUAUUUCAGUUGAUUUUGAAGGAAACAAAUCAACAUCGAAUAGUGUUUUCCCUCAAUUCUGGCAAUAACUACAUUUGUUUGGUGAAAUCGUUGGAAAUGUCAUUCAAUAUUAUCAAAUCAUUCAACUUGAGGUCACCACAAAGCUAUUUACCUUAAUCCAGUCCAAGAGUUUAUCCUUUAUAAAAUCAUCAGAAAUUAAAAAUCUUCAGAUGAAUGUAGAUUAAUUAUGAAUUGAGUUUAAUCUAUUAAUAAUUGGUAUAUUGAGACUUGUCCAUAGCUUGACCAUAUUGCGUGUUAUCUUUGAAGUGUAAAUUGAUCAAAAUGACAAAUUAUAAAAUAAUAGUUAAUCACGAAAUCGAUCAACUACUUAACCUUAAUUUUAACAAUAAACCAAACGGUAAAUGAUUAUUUA